AGAAGUGUAACAUAAGAAAGGUAAAGAGCAAAUAUUAACCAUGUAAGCUGUUUAUAUUGCUUGCAGUUUAGGUGAAGCGAGCAUGUGUAAAGCAUUUUAAUGUAAAAUUGCUUAAUUUCGCUGAAUUAAAUACAAGUAACAAAGUAAACGAGUAACAAAAAUAUGAACACCACACAAGGGUUAAUUUUCCAUUCUUUUAAAUAGCAGAAUACUUUGAUUUUAAUUUCUUUGCCCGGACCCGACCCAGCCAGAGGAAAGUAAUGGAAAAUCUCGGGUCGAGUCCAGGCUCCAGGAAAUAGUCUGUGAUGUUGUCAUCUAAAUUUUUAAUACUAUUUUUAUUUUGUAUAAAGCUAUGGCCUGAUAAAUCACCAUAUAUCUAAGUAACAAAGUAUUACUGUUAACGAAAACAAACGAAAUAACGAAAACUGAAAGUGAAAGUUCUCCUUAACUGAGACUAAUAAAAACAGUAAUUAAAAGAAAAAACUAAAACGAACUGAAAUUACAGAUUGAAUACCCUCAUUUUCGUGUUAGUUAAUUUAUUUAUAAACGCUGUUUACACUACAGCAGUUUAACAGCGGGUGGUGUUGUGCCGUUUCUGCUUGCAACGCAGAGCCAGAUUCUGCGGGGGUCAGAUUUUGGCAGCGCGCUCCUAGGAAUUAACUCCUCGGAAUUACUUAUAUUUACAGCGCUCGAGCUAGCUGCGAAAUAAUGACAGAAAACCCUGAGAAAACUGCAGAAUUCAGUAUGGGAUUAGAAUAUGUUUUGUAGAGAAACAGGAGAUGAGGAAUAUUUGAAAAGCAGCUGUAACUUUACCUGUGAGUAACUCACACUGAACACCCCACGCUGCAGGAUAAACUGAUAAAUCUGAUCAUUUCAGUGGUUGGUUGGUUGUUAGGGUUUUAUUGCCACUCCAGCACAAAUUUGGCUAUUUGUGGCGAAAUUUCGAUGAAAAUUAGUGAAACCUGUAGAGUUUAUUGAGUUUUUGCUGUAUGAUCCCCUCAGUGAGAAUCCCCAACCCAUAACCAAUCAGUAGUUCACUGCUCACUGCUCUUUCAUUGUGGAUGCGCAGAAUGUCUUAAACGUCCUGUUUUUCAAAGUUCAGGUUUGGCACGUCACGUGGUUAAUAUACCGUCACUGUUUUACAAUACCGUCACCAUAUUUAAAUACCGUGGUAUACCGAAAUACCGUCAUACCGCCCAAACCUACUUCUGUAUUUUAUUCAAAGAAAAUGUAUCAAAGGGACAGACAGAUAGAUUUUUGGUCAGGGAUUGCCGGGUUUUGGCUGUGGUUUGUUGUGUGAUCCGGUGUCGACCCGAGGAGGACGGGUUCCCCCUGUGAGCCGUGGUUCCUCUCGAGGUUUCUUCCUCUUACAGUGAGGGAGUUUUUCCUCGCCCCCAUCGCCGCUGGCUCGCUCACUAGGGGCUCGGACAGAAGGUUGGUAGGUAGGUAGUUUGGUUGGUAGGUAAGUAGGUAGGUAGGUAGGUAAGUUGGUGGGUAGAUAGGUAGGCUGGUAGGUAGGGAGGUAGGUUGGUUGGUAAAUAGCUUAGUAGGUAGAUUGGUUGUAUGUAGGUAGGUAUAAAGGUUUUUUUUAGGUAGGUAAACAGUAGGUAGGUAGUAAAUAGGUAGGUAGGUUGGUAGUUAGGUAGGUAGGUAGGUAGGUAGGUAGAAAGGUAGGUAAGUUGGUAGGUAGAUAGGUAGGUAGGUUGGUAGGUAGGUAAGUUGGUAGGUAGCUAGGUUGGUAGGUAGGUAAGUAGGUUGGUAGGUAGGUUGGUAGGUAAGUAGGUAGGUAGGCUGUUAGGUAGGUUGUAGGUAGGUAGGUAGAAAGGUAGGUAACUUGGUAGGUAAGUAGGUAGGUAGAAACAUAGGUAAGUUGUUAUGUAGAUAGGUAGGUUGGUAGGUAAGUAGGUAGGUAGGUAAAUAGGUAGGUAGGCUGUUAGGUAGGUUGUAGGUAAGUAGGUAAAAAGGUAGGUAACUUGGUAGGUAGAUAGGUAGAUUGGUAGGUUGGUAGGUAGGUAGGUAGGUAGGUAAGUGGGUAGGUAGAUAGGUAGGUUGGGAGGUAGGGAGGUAGGUUGGUUGGUAGAUAAGUAGGUAGGUAGGUUGUUAGGUAGGUUGGUUGGUAGGUUGGUAAGUAGGUAGGUAGAUUGUUUGGUAGGUAGGUAGGUAGGUAGGUAAGUAAAUAGGUAGGUAGGUAGGUAAGUAGGUUGGUAGGUAAGUAAGUAGGUAGGUAAGUAGGUAUGCUGGUAGGUAAGUGGUUAGGUAGGUAAGUAGGUAGGUCGGUAGGUUAGUAAGUAGGUAGGUUGGUUGGUAGGUAAGUAGGUAGGUAGAUGGGUUGUUUGGUAGGUAGGUUAGUAGGUAUGUAGGUUGUUUGGUAGGCAGGUAAGUAAAUAGGUAGGUAGGUAAGUAGGUAGUUUGGUAGAAAGGUAGGUAAGUUGGUAGGUAGAUGGGUGGGUAGGUAAGUUGGUAGGUAGCUAGGUAGGUCGGUAGGUAAGUAAGUAGGUUGGUAGGUAGGUUGGUAGGUAAGUAAGUAGGUAGGUAGGCUGUUAGGUGAUUGUAGGUAGGUAGGUAGAAAGGUAGGUAGAUAGGUAGGCCGGUACGUAGGUAGGUAAGUAAGUAGGUAGGUAGAUAGAAAGGUAGGUUGGUAGAAAGGUAGGUAGGUUGGUACAAAGAUAGGUAGGUUGAUAGGAAGGUAAGUAGGUUGGUAGGUAAGUAGGUUGGUAGGUAAGUAAGUAGGUAGGUAGGUAGCUUGGUAGGUAGGUAAGUACUACCUAUGUAGUUAGGUUGGUAGGUAAGUAGGUUGGUAGAUUGGUUGGUAGGUAGGUAAGUAGGUAUGUUGGUUGGUAGGUAUCUAGGUUGUUUGGUAGGUAGGAAGGUUGUUUUGUAGGUAGGUAGGUUGGUGGGUAGGUAGGUUUGUAGGUAGGUGAGUUGGUAGGUUUGUAGGUAGGUUGGUAGGUAGGUAGAUAGGUUGGUUGGUAGGAAGGUAGGUAAGUAGGUAGGUUGGUAGAU